rnacentral:rRNA from 1 species
GACGGAGGGUGCUAGCGUUGUUCGGAAUCACUGGGCGUAAAGGGCGCGUAGGCGGCCUCAGGUGUCGGAUGUGAAAGCCCGGGGCUCAACCCCGGAGGUGCAUCCGAAACUCUGGGGCUGGAGGUCGGAAGAGGAGGGUGGAAUACCCAGUGUAGAGGUGAAAUUCGUAGAUAUCGGGAGGAACACCAGUGGCGAAGGCGGCGACCUGGGCCAAUAUUGACGCUGAGGUGCGAAAGCGUGGGGAGCAAACAGG